UGCUUUUAGUAAAUAGCCGCAGUAUUUUGACUGUGCUAAGGUAGCAUAAUCAUUAGUCUUUUGAUUGAAGGCUGGUAUGAAUGGCGGAACGAGAAAAUAACUGUCUCUAAUAGAGAUAUUGAAUUUCAUUUCUAAGUGAAAAAGCUUAGAUUAUUUUGAAGGACGAUCAGACCCUUUGGAGCUUUAUCUGUAAAUUACUUUAUCUUAAUUUAUUAUAAGGAAACUAUUUAAUGGAUUUUGUUGGGGCGACAGGGAGUUAAAAAUAACACUCUUUUUAUUAAACAUAUUUAGAUGAAGAAUUGAUCCUUUAAGGGAGAUUAAAAGACUAAGUUACCCUAGGGAUAACAGCGUAAUCUUUUUGGAGAGUUCAUAUCGAUAAAAAGGUUUGCGACCUCGAUGUUGGAUUAAGAAAUUAGCAAGGUGCAGAAGUUUUGCUGGAGAGUCUGUUCGACUUUUAAUAUCUUACAU
rnacentral:rRNA from 1 species